UACGGAGGGUGCGAGCGUUGUUCGGAAUUACUGGGCGUAAAGUGUGCGCAGGCGGCGCCGCAUGUCGAGUGUGAAAGCCCCGAGCUUAACUUGGGAAUUGCGCUCGAAACUACGGUGCUGGAGUGUGGCAGAGGAAGGUGGAAUUCCACGUGUAGCGGUGAAAUGCGUAGAGAUGUGGAGGAACACCGAUGGCGAAGGCAGCCUUCUGGGCCAACACUGACGCUCAUGCACGAAAGCGUGGGGAGCAAACAGG
rnacentral:rRNA from 1 species